UUAGGUACAUAGGGUACCCUUGAAACCACAAUGAGAGGAGCCUUACGACUUCUUCUUUGUUGCCGGGCUUUGAUGAGGAAGGGUACCUAUCGAAGAGGUGGCACCUACGGUAAUUGAGGAUUCACUUCUUAGACGGUUUAUAAAGGAGUCGAAAUCUUCGCUGGACCGAUCCAUAUCAAUCAACCACCAUGGAAAACAAGAAGAAAAGGUCAGAUAAACAGACACAAAGCUUAUUGUGAAUUAAAAUAACAGAAGGGCAAACAGUAAGGAAAACAUAAGGCUAGAAAACAAAAUACGAGUGACACUAGAAUACCCUUGCAAUACCCUCUACUCAUACUUGGUCAUGAAAAGAAGCCGAUGGGGAACCUUUGACCAAUUAGCCCUACCCACACUCAAUAUAUCACUCUCUAUAUGGCCAAAAACUUUGCCUAGUAGCGGUAAAAGAAAGAAAAUAAAAGGGAAGUCAAAGUUAGAAGCACCAGGAGGAAGGAAAAGAGGAAAGAAAAGGAAGAAAAAAAAAACAAAGAAGAGAGAGAGGCUUAC
rnacentral:lncRNA from 1 species